CAGCGUGUGUAUGACACCGAGCUGGAUGCACCCUCCCUUUCAUUCUGUGAAAGUGCGUAUAAAGCCAGAGAUGACAGCCGACAAUGUCCAUAUGGUAGAUCUAAGGAGCCAUGACUGCUGCUAUUGCUCUGCCAAAUAAAUUCUCUCUCUCUCUCUGCAUGCUGGGAGUGUUUGGUGCAUGCUGGGAAUUGUAUGUGCGAGUGUUGUCUGGAGUUGUUGCCUGUGUUUCCCUUCUUGUUUCCUUUUCUUGGUGGUUUUCCUUUUUCUAUGCAUGAUUAAGGUUAUUGUUUAUUUAAUUUAUUUGUUUAUGGUAGAACUAAGUAUAUUGUUUUUCUUGUUGGAAUUGCCCUGGCUUUGGCAGGGAUGACGACCCACAUGGGGACGCCGUCCCUGUCACUUCGGCACGGCUCUAGGUGUAUUACUGAAGCUACUGUCACUGCGGAGGAGUUCCUGGUCGCCGUAGGGGAGAAGGGUGAAGGAAAAGCAACCAACAAAUGCUCAGCAUAUGUGGGAACUCCUUCAAGACUGUUGGAAAAGCGUUCCUUAUGAAGUUGGUUGAGAGAAUGCCAAGAGUGUGGAAAGCCGUUAUCAAGGCAAAGGGAAUGAUCGACUUCACCUUUUUUGGAGGCUGCUGGAGGGCCCUGGCUGCACUCUGGAGCUUCUCUUCCACUCUUAAGGUCACCCAGGUGUUGGUCUGAGAGAAAUCAUAAACCUGCAUGCUUCUACGUGCCCUGCGCUGCUCAACACUCGCCACGCCAGCACUCAAAACCAUCAUCAGUCCAGCCUCAUACCACCUUGUUCCACCUAAACCCUUCAUUUCCCAGGACUUUCUCCAUCAAAAGCGAAGGCCUUUGAAGGAUUUAUCAACCUUUGUUUUUCCUCUAGAGAACUUUGUUUUUGUACCAGUAAGGUUAAGGCUCUUAGGUAUUGGGUCUGCUGUAGGUGUGUGAGAUGAGUGGAUUCCCAAACACCUGUGCUGUGUUCUGUGCUACUUACCUGUAUUGUGUUGUGU